UUCAGCCAAGCGCUUGCACUCGGUGACACGGAAUGUUGUUUACAUCUAAAAACGUGGCGACAUCAGCUGAGAUUUGCAGUGGAUUUAAAUGCAAUAACCACACAAUCUUCAAAGAAAAUAGGGAUAAAAUUAGAGACACGGCAUUGUUUCUUCCUUUUACGAGAAUAUGAGGACAUUAUUUCGGAAAAUAGCAGAAAACUGAGACGAUAUGCACCAGCUCCGUAGAUCCAUCACUGCACUGAAAUUCCAGGCCAGCUGUCAAGAGUAUCAGGCUUAAAGAAUGAAUAUAUAAAAAAUGCAUCAUUUCUCCACAGGGCAUAGCUAUUCCUGUGGACUAAUGGAUUUAUUCAGACAGGAAGUUAAUCUAUCAUUUAAGGAAAAUGAAUUCAUUUUAUCCACAAGAACAUGAAGUGAUGGAAAUAAUUUGCACCUGCCCAGCAUUCCUAGGCCUACAGUCUAUCAUUGGAUUUGAAAAGAAAUGUUUAUUUAAUAAAUUUUCUAGAUAAACAAAAUAAUUUGACUUUUUAAUUUAUUUACUGUUCAUGUGUUGAAAAGGCCAUUAAGAUUUGAAAAUCUUAACUUGCAUACUAUUUUGUGUGGAUGGUACUAAUGUCCAUAAAGAUCUUAUUUCCAGCAUGUGCAUUGUGUUCAUUUAUUUUUUAAUAAUAUUUUUUUGAAAAAAACCCAGAAGACUAGCUAUCCCCCUAAUUGAUUCAAAAUAGGAUAGGGGACCACCAUUUGAUUCUGAGGGAAAGGGGGGGGGGGCAGGCGAGUUUUUCCAGAUUUUUUUUUAUUUUCAUGUCAAUGAAGGACAGAUUAAUAUUUAUUU